GUGGUUGUAGCUCAAUUGGUUAGAGCAUCGGUUUGUGGAACCGAAGGCUACGGGUUCAAGUCCCGCCAGCCACC
rnacentral:tRNA from 1 species